rnacentral:rRNA from 1 species
GAUGAACGCUGGCGGCGUGCCUAAUACAUGCAAGUCGAACGCUGGAAAUCUAGCUUGCUAGAUUGAAGGAGUGGCGAACGGGUGAGUAAUACAUAAGCAACCUACCCACGAAGACUGGGAUAAUCUCUGGAAACGGGGACUAAUACCGGAUAGGUAAUCGGAAGGCAUCUUCUGAUUAUUAAAGGUUAAAAACACUGGUGGAUGGGCUUAUGGCGCAUUAGUUAGUUGGUGAGGUAACGGCCCACCAAGACGAUGAUGCGUAGCCGGCCUGAGAGGGUGAACGGCCACAUUGGGACUGAGACACGGCCCAGACUCCUACGGGAGGCAGCAGUAGGGAAUGUUCGGCAAUGGGGGAAAACCUGACCGAGCAACGCCGCGUGAGUGAUGACGGCCUUCGGGUUGUAAAGCUCUGUUGUAAGGGAAGAACGGUAGAUAGAGAAUAUCUAAAUGACGGUACCUUACCAGAAAGCCACGGCUAACUACGUG